AACGAACGCUGGCGGCAGGCUUAACACAUGCAAGUCGAACGCUCGACCUUCGGGUCGGGAGUGGCAGACGGGUGAGUAACGCGUGGGAACGUACCCUUCGGUUCGGAAUAACCCAGGGAAACUUGGGCUAAUACCGGAUACGUCCUGGCCUGGAGACAGGGUGGGAGAAAGGUUUACUGCCGAAGGAUCGGCCCGCGUCGGAUUAGCUAGUUGGUGGGGUAACGGCCCACCAAGGCGACGAUCCGUAGCUGGUCUGAGAGGAUGAUCAGCCACACUGGGACUGAGACACGGCCCAGACUCCUACGGGAGGCAGCAGUGGGGAAUAUUGGACAAUGGGCGAAAGCCUGAUCCAGCCAUGCCGCGUGAGUGAAGAAGGCCUUAGGGUUGUAAAGCUCUUUC
rnacentral:rRNA from 1 species